GACUGUUAUUAAUUAAGAUUUGCUCUAAACCUGAACUUGUGGGAAGAGUACUUGAUCUAAAGUCUAAGUCGUUAACGGAUAUGAUAUGGAAAGGUUGAGCUGCUAUUUAUCUGUUCCUAGAGAUGCUAGAAUUCUGGAGAAUUUUAUCUUUGAAAAAUCUUUAAAAUAUCACAUGAUGAGUUCCUGUAUGAUGAGAGUUUAAAUUCCUACCACAGCCAUAUAUACAUGCUUGCUAGACAUUGAGCCACACAUUUACUUUUUUACUGCUUAUGAGCAUUGAGUGUGGUCAAGCUGUGUAGACCCUUAGGAGCUUGUCAUGUGGUUAAAAUCAAGAUUCACUUGCACGUUCACUCAUACAUGCUGCUUCUACUCCGGAAGUACGCAUCCACAUAUAUCCAUCCAUUUCCAUCUCUAGAACCACCCAAAAAUAUUCUACUCCUAAUCAGCGAGAGAAUAGCCAAAAACAUUUCUCUUUUCCCUUGUGAAAUAAAUGUUCAAGUUAUCUUGGUUACUACCACUUGCUAUAUUAUUUCAGGAAAUGAGUGCUCUGAAAAAAAAGUAUACGAGGAAAUAAAAAGGGGCAAGUGCCCGGAACCUCGAAAGAAAAGAAAAAGUAAGACGAGAGGUAAAAAUAGACAAGUGUCCCCUCAAAAGAGUAUCUCAUUCUCCUCAAAAAAGUUUUAAAAGAGCAAGAAAGGUACGUAUCCCCUCAAAAGAACACAAGUAGAAUUAGACUUUCACCAUUGUUAUCACCAUCAUCACCAUACAUCAUUCAUUCGCCACACAUGCACAUCUUGAUUUGACUUAUUGACUUGUUCUUCUAGAUCCAUGGUUUGACUAUACAAUAAAUGUCUUGUAGCUAUGUAUUAGCUGUCUCCCACCUAUGAGCUCCAGAUAUCAAAACCUUAUUAGAGUAGGGUGAGAGAGAAGGCAAUGUCACUAUGCCUCAUACCAAAAAUACCACAUAAUUUGAGAGAAGGCAUAUAUCAUCACUGCCUUGGUAAGGAUCCAGAAAUACCACAAAAGAGAGACUAGAGAGAGUCAUACAAGGAAUCUUUGAGUUUUAUUUGAAAAUCUGCAAAAACUCCAGAGCUAUAGUUAAUCGAAGAACAAGAGACAUGGCGCUUGACUAGACCGUUCUAUCUUUUAACUGCUCAAGACAUAAGUGACGGUUACAAGCCCCAUGGUGGAAGGUAAAAUGAGUAAGUUUAAAUCUUAACAGUUUACCCUAACCCAGAGAUGAGAUCUUGUUUGAACGCAUGUGUACCUUUAAGGCAUGAAACCACUGCAGAAACUCUUGAGUUCAUCUUUGCUCAGGGACGAGCAAAGGUUAAGCUUGGGGGAGCUUGUUGACAGUCCUUAAUGCUCAUAUUUAACCGUCAACUAAUCAUGGAAAAGGAUCCAAAUGCAACCAACACCUAGACUUAGGGUUUUAUGUGACAGAAUUCCACAAGUUUUGGUGUUUGUCUAUUUCUGCAGGGGGUUAUCAGGAAAUAAGGAAGAAAGGCCCACACGUCGGGUUUACAUAUAGAUAUUAACGUGCCGCGCAAUUUUCUACCAUCUAGAAGACUCCAGAAGCCACGGGAACGAACGGGAGGCCGAUCGGGCCCGGGGCAGGGCGCCCGCCCAAGUCCCUUAGGUGCCCGCCCAGCUACAGUAACCAAUCAGCUUCAACUUCGCGGAUCAUGCUCCACCGACCUAAGGGACCAAGGAAAACCGUGUGAUUAAUGUCGGUUUGAUCCGACAGCCCAAAUUCAUCUGAAAAGACUAUAUAAGCAAGGCCCCCUGGCCCCUGGAGAGCAUACCUCUUCUACAGAAUCAAAGCUAGGGUUUCAAUUCUUCAUUCAAGUAGAGAGGAUCCCUCUAGUUCUUCUAGUUCUACCUCUAGUUCAUCUAGAUCUAGUUCUAGUUCCUCUAGUUCUAGUUCUAGUUAGUUCUAGUUGUAAUUUAGAAAACAGGGAGAGAGAAGAGGAGAGCGGAGGAGGAGCCGGAUCUGUCGAAUCUUCCUCAACAUUAUACUUUUGCAGCAUCUGGUUCGUUCUUCAUCGUUCUCCAGGUUCUUCAACUCAUAACUCCUGAGUUCUCUAAUUACUUUUCUUUACAUUCAAGUUAUUUAUUGGAUUCCCGCUUGCAUCAAGUGCUCUAAUCUUUGAAACAUUAGAGUAGUAAUUAAUAGAUUAGACGUGGUGUUUAGUCUUGCAAUUACCUGGAAUUGCACCCAAUCCUGCGGAUUGUUGUGGUAGCCUUAGGGUAGUGACAGCCCUAACGGUCGACAUAUUCCACCUCGUUCGGAUCGGUGUUUGUAGGACCGUAGUCGGAGCUUCCUAGCCCCCUUCUCAUCUCUUUCUGUGGUUAGUGUUCUGAUGUCCCGAAAUAGAUAAUCUUGAAGUAAUUCUUGAUUCUUAGAUCAACUAGAGAACUCUUAGGAAACUUCCUCUCUUCCCACCAAAAAUAAUUAUAUAGUUAUCCUUGGGCGAUCUUGGAUCUUAAUUAGUACACUCACGUUCCCUGUGGAAAAUCGAUACUCUGGAAUACUCCCGGGUGAAGGCUACAUCGGUAUCCGUGCGCUUUAUUGACGGUCCUUAAGUAUCAAAUUUAAUUAUCAAAUAAACAAAGAAAAGGAUCCAAAUGAAAUCAACAUCUAGACUUAGGGUUUUAUCUGACAGAAUUCCACGAGUUUUGGUGUUUGUCUAUUUCUGCAGGGGGUUAUCAGGAAAUAAGGAAGAAAGGCCCACAUGUCAGGAUUACAUAGAGAUAUCAACGCAUCGCACAAUUUUCUACCAUCUAGAAGACUCCAGAAGCCACGAGACCGAAGCAGAGGCGAAACGGGGCCAGGACCUGGGCGCUCGCCCAGUUUCCUUGGGCGCCCGCCCACCUGCCGAGCCCAAUCAGGACUCUUUCUCUCUGGAGAUCUCCACCGACCUAUUGGAUUCAGAAUAACGUAGUACCACCUCGCCUACCGACCCAAAAACGCAUAGAGGAGGAGGACUAUAUAAGGAGACCCCCGUGGCCCCUGGAGGAGACAAGAAGUUAUCAUAGAGAUUGAGGGGUGCCCUCGAAGGAAAACCUCUUCUCUAAAUAAUAUUUCUUUUUAGGCUUAGCAACCAAUGUAAGUAGAAAUAGAUCUUCUAGUUUCUACUAGAUUGAGAGAGAUAGAGUGGAGGUGUGGAUCGGAGGAAGGCCGGCCUGUCGGUGUCUACUCUGAGUUGUACCUGCGGGAUCAAGUCUCCUAACCCGAGGCUUGCUUCUAAGAUUCUUCAGUAAUUUGACUUCUAAUUCUAGUAAAUUCUUGUUUUAUUGUUCUUUGGUCUAUGAGUUUACUUUAAUCCUCUUCCGGUUGAGUAUUAGAGUAAUCACUUGCUAGCGUAAACGUGGUGUUUAGGCUAGGGUACUCAUAGAUAUCCCCUGACUAGCUGGACCGUGGUAGUAGCGAGGAACGUGACAUUUCCGAGUUACCUUUGCAGAUCACAUCUCGUUAGCAGGACGGGUAGGUUUAUAGGUGCGGGUCGAACAUCCUUUGUGUUGUCUAGAUUCCGUGAGCCUCCCCAAUAGAACAGUAGAUCAUCCUUACCAAGGUUAGAACGAGACUACGGUUGCAGUCUUCUCUAUACAUCGCUCACGAGAAACAUUCUUUGUAGCCUAAAGGGAUAGUAGCAAUAGAUUUGGUUAGGCAGAUGCACCCUUUCUCCCAGUGGUAAAAAUAUAAAUACGAUAACUCUAGAUAACCUCCCGGGUGAAAUGCUCACUGAUAUCCGUGCGCUUGCGGAUCAAUUCCUUAUUGCGUUACCAAAUAUCAACAAGCAUUUCUGGCGCCGUUGCCGGGGAGAAAGACGGUUUGCUGAGAUAACUUUGAGUCUUGCUAUUAUCUUGUAUUAUACUUUUAUACUUUUAUCCUUUUAUCUUUUUAUUUUUAUCUUUAUGGAUAACUCAAAUUCCAUACCUAUUAUUAAUUUCUUUGCACCUUCGGAGACUAGCCAUAGACCAUGGGAGUCAACACGUCGUGCCCCUAAUUAUGAUCCGUGUCCGGAGUUGAUUGCAAUAGGUCAAAACCAACCCUUUUCUAUAGCUGAGGUCCUAUCUUUUAAUCAAAAAGAUAAUGCACUUUUAGCUACACCUAGGGAAUCUGUUAAUCUUUCUAUAAAUUCUGGUUUAGACCUAGCCCUACAAGACCAUGUUUUUCCUAGAUAUUUUCACAUUGGUCUUAAUCAUAUAACCUUCGGUAGAGUCUUACAAGACCAUGUUUUUCCUAGAUAUUUUCACAUUGGUCUUAAUCAUAUAACCUUCGGUAGAGUCUUUCUUUCUUUAUCUAUUAGUAAAGGAAGGUAUGUCUUCAUUCGUGGACAUCCUUCUUGCACAAAUCUUCAUAGAAAAAUCAUAGAGAUAGAGAAGGAAUCAUCUCCCAGACAAGUUUCAAUAGCCGAUUUCCCAACAUUUCAAUCCCAUGAUUCGGCUAUCCAACCCAUCCUCGAGCUUAAUAAUUUCUACUCUUCUCUUUCUCUUGAACCUCUCGAUGAUCCUAUGAAUCUUUCUAGACAUCCCAUGCAUAAGAGUCACCAAGACCACAAGGAGAAUCGAGAAGAGCAACAUCAAUGGCCAGAGGGCAUUAAAAAUCCAUGUGCUAUCACCAUUGAAUGGAUGGAUAAAACAAACUUGAGAGACAAUCCUAGAGGAAUUUUAAGCAUUCAUGAAGAAUCAUCCUUGGAGUUUGAGAAUGAGAGAAACAACAGUGUGCAUGGAAGUUAUUUCAUAAAUACCUUACCAAGUCCUUGCUCAUAUAAAACAUCUCCCCAAUCAAUUGGUCUCUCCAUCCUUACCACAUUUGAGAUCUCCAACCCCCUCUUCCUUUCUAUUUAUAACAACUUUAAAAGGGCGGUUGUCGAUGCAUAUGUCUAUAAUAAAUAUUGCAAAUCUCGUUGAGUUGAUCUAGAUAUAGGUCAGCGUUGGAGGGGAAACCACUUCACUGACAUAAAUUGAUGGUUUCCCAAAGCUUAGCGUCCUUAAACAAGCACUUAUCAGAUCGUAACAUGAACUUCUAAUUAUUUGCAACAUUGCCUUGUGUAUUGAGCAUAUUGAGAUAAUUGUAGAAAUAUUCCUUCGGGUAUUCUUGCCACUAACCUUUCCAGGAUUGGAGCAAGAAGAUCGGAUGAAUGACAAGCACAAGGUAUGUCCAACCAACCAUCAUACAACAUUGAAUUCAUCCAAACUUGAACUUUUCAAAAUUCAAGCUUGGGGGAGUACUUUACAUAAAAACAUCCUUUGCCAUGUUGCUAUGUUGGUUGAGACAUGCUCAAUUUGUUAAAUACUAAUCACACUACUUCAUCUCCACUUGAGUAGAUCUCUAUAAAUGCCAUCACGCUACCUUUGUUUAUCCUAGUAAGUGUUAGUUUGGAAGUACUACACAUACUUCUAUUGGCUUUUAAAUUAAGCGUGGUGCUUAGGUUAAAUAGCCUUCCUUAAUCUGAUUAGACAUGGAGUCUAGUUCGGUUAUUGAACUAAAAACUGCUUGUGUAGACAUUGGUAUAUUUUGUCGGACUAACCCCUGCAGGAAAAUUUUCAAUAUCAACCUGGGAAGUCCUAAGAUACAAACUCAUUGGAGACAAAGGAGACACAUAAAGUUUAACGAUUUGUACAAGAAGGACAAAGCUCAUUCAUCAUAAAGAGAUGAUUCAUGGAGGGUGCCACAAACACGAUGCACAACCACUAAGAAAGGAAAGCUUCCAGAAGGUGAUACUGUACCGUCACUCUUCAAGUAAGGUAACAUUUUAAGGUACUUGACUAUUGCUUUUAUAAGCUUCUCCUUGGUUCUAGCGUUCACAUAAAAUAAAGAGACAAACAUGUAUGAUUUAUAACUCCAGAUUAACCAACUCAAUUAAUUCAUCAUGUUUAGUCCUUAUUCUUUGUUCUUAGUACUACCUUCGUGAUCCCAUACUCCUAAUCAUAUAAGUUAAAAUGUUGCACAUUCAAUCUUUGGAAGAUAUAAACAAAACAUAAAUAUAGAUAGAUUAUCUUUCUAUUAGGUUGAGCCAUCUCAUCUAACAAAUGUUUUAAAUGCUACACUCAUGAUCCAUCAACUUUGUCUUGCUCACUAUGCUUAAGGUUAGAGAAGAACAAAUACACUUUUGGUUUUGUUGGUGUUUUCCACCAACAGGGCCCAUGCACUUGAUCUCUGCCUUGUCUCUAUGAAUAGGUACACUUCAAACAAAACAUGGAGGAGUUUUACAACUCCCAGAUUCCACCAAGUGAAGAACCGAGAUCUACGAGCACAAACACAAUGGAGAUCAGACACUUAGUUUCCCAAAGGAAAUAUUGAAGAACCUCUGUGUCCGAGUUGGUACCUUGUACACUCCAGCAAACUUCGUGGUGAUAGAGACUGGUACUGAGGAGAGGGCACCCAUCAUCUUAGGGAGGCCAUUCCUAAACGCCAGAGCUGUCAUCUACGCUAAUGCUGCCAAGAUCUAUUUCUACAUCAAGGGGGAGAAGGAGACUUUCCUUCAAGAACAAGACUACACAAAUUUCAGAGCAAUCCCAACAUGAACCGAGGAAGAAGACCAACAGGAGGAACAAGAACAAGCAAAUGUGGACCGAGUCAGCUAAGAUGGUCACUGCAGCUCAAGGAGGUCAAGAUCGUCGACUCAAGUCACCUUUCUUGAUCAAGAAGGACGACCCUGGUGUUCCAAGCAUUGAGUGCACAAUCAACAGAUACUCUUUUCAGAAGACACUCUACGACACCAAAUCUGAUGACAACAUAAUGGCCGCAGUCACUUAUCAGCUCCUGCAUGGAACCAUGCCCCUACAACCAAUAUAUUCAGCUCCAGAUGAUUUUCAGGUCAUUGAUAUGGGAGAAGACGAGUACGAUCCACCCAUCAUCCUUGGAAGACCGUUCCUCAACGCUAUCAAAGCCAUCAUCUACAUUGGAACCGGAGAAGUCCACAUGCACUUCCCCUCUGAGAAGGUACGCAGCUAUUUUACUGACCUUAACUAUAUAGUUGAAGACUCUAAGCAGGUUAGGACAAGAAGAAGACGACGCAACCGCAACCAGAGGAGGCAAAUCAUCAAGGAUGGAUGGGUAGACUACGAAGGAGAAGUGAUAAGGUCUGAAGACAUACAGCUUGAACAGAAGUCUUCUGAAGAGACCUGUUGAUGCAAAACUGAUCUGCAAACACAAAGGGCUAAUACCCGAUUCAAACGUUAUGGCGUGCCAGCCGAUUUGACCUUGCUAUCGGCAAAGGUGAUAACUCGAAUACUUUAGUCCUGACAACAGCGAUGCGCCCGGAUGUCACGGCUAAGAGGUACUCACGCGGAACUUGAGAACACGCCGAGCUUAAGUCGACGAAUUCCUAAGAACUCGUAACAAAAGGAAAAAGUAUGACAAAGUCGUCGAAAAGUAAAUGCUGGAAUAUGAGUAAAAACGUGUGUUUGAUUUAUUGAUUGAUUUUCUAUUACAAGGCCCUAGGGUCUAUAUUUAUACCCUGCUCAAAGAGCUACAACCAGACACGAUUAGAAUUCGAAUUCCAAAUUACACGGAAUCCGUAUACAAAACGAUGCAAAUAAUUAAGGAAAUAACAAAACUAUCCCUCAUGACAAACCGAAACUCCUCCACAUAACGACCGGCAGCUUCCGGACUCCCUCUUUGCAUCAUCUGCAGACCCUUUGCCAUAGUCAUCGGCGGACUUUCCUAUCUAGCCAUCGGCACCAUAUUACUGCCUGCGGACUUAGUCACGUUCAACUCUCCCUCAUCGGCAACCAUCCUCAUCGGCAACCCACUUUGUAAACAUCGUACUGCCACCUUAUCCUGCCAUCCUAGACACGUGCCCAAAAACAGUGUCAACACAUGCCCCCCAGUUUCGGAGUAUAAAACUAUUAAUGCUCCGAAAUUCUCUGCAGUAAUGAUGCCUUUUCCCGCAAUUAAUGCUCCUAAUCUGGUAACCGACAACCUCAAUCUGAACAACUCUGAUCCUAUUCCUCCGCAGAUUCCUCGAAAUCCCCAACUUCCUAAACGGGCAUUUUUCUCAGUCGUACAUCGGCAACAAUACCGUUACAAAGAUUUGCCGAUGUUCUGACCAGGAUAUUUGCACAAACGGUUACUUCCCCUCUAUCCGCCCAUCGGCAAUAUGACCGUUAUAGAAUAUUGCCGAUGGACCGACCAGGAGAUCUCGCACAGUAAAAUAUCUUCAGAUAAUGACCGCUUCCCGUCAAAUCACCUACACAAUCCCUGGAUUACCGUGCGAACAGUUACCAUAUCCACCUGAGUACCCUCGGAUUUCUCGGAUGCGGCAAAGAGAUAAGUCGGAUUUGCCCUUGCCCAUUUUGUCCUAUAAAUAGUUCCUUCUUGGGUACUCCUUCCCCAUCACACCAUUCUACUACCCAACUUUACUUUUCCAGCGGCGGCGCCACCAAAAACUCCUAAGGUCUCCGACAAGUACCCCUCUUCACCAACUCCGGCGCCUUCACACGCUUCCUUCGCAGCAAGAUGGCCAUCGGGUUCGUCGUCCCUGAGGUCAAAUCUCCACCCCGUCUUCUGUAUUUUUCUUCAUAUCCCUGUUCACUCGCAAUUCAUUUUACUGAACAUCUUCCUUUUCUUUCCUCUUUGUAUUUCUUUUUACGCCCAAAAUCACUAGGAAUUAUCCAACAAAAUUGUCAUCCCCACCGAUCAACCACACCUUCAAUGCCUCGGCCCUCUAGGGGACCCAGAUCCAACUGACCUUAUCAACGCAGAAACCAACAGGAUCCCCUUCAGAGCCGAAAAUUUUUCCUUAGAUCUGUGGAAGGACACCUUCCGCUCUUGGCCCAGCCCAACUGUAGGGUGGACAGACUGGUUCUUGAGGGUCAACAACUCUAAUGAAGUUCAGUGGGGUGAAAGGAAUCUAGCCCAAUGCAUUAGAUUGUUCAUUGCCGAUAUGCAUAGGAACGAGUCACUGCUGAUAGCUGCAUCCUACUUUUGGUCAGACACCCUCAAUGCUUUUGCCUUUGGCCACGGCCCUGCUUCUCCUACUCUUGCCGAUGUAGCCAUGCUUACUGGUCUAGAUAUAUCUUCUGCCGAUAGCACCCACUUUUUUGAUACUGCCCCUAGUGCCAAAGUGGAGACUCGCGCUAUCGGCGGUUGGUCGGGGUACAUUCAGAAGUACCGUGGGAAAGAAUCUGUCACCAUAGAGGAACAAACCACCUUUCUGAACAUGUGGCUGGACAAGUUUGUAUUCUGUGGUCGAUCGGCAGGACCGACUUCUGUCUACCUAUCGGCAGCAGAAAGACUGGCUAACGGUGGCCGAUUCCCUCUCGGCCGAUACUUGCUUGGCGCUGCUUACCACCUUCUCCAUCAAGUAGCCCAGAAACUUCUGCUCGGCCAAUCCACUGGCAACUUGGGAGGCCCCUGGUGGUUUGUCAACAUGUGGCUCAAUCUGCAUCUGCACAAGCGUCUCAACUUCAACCUGUUCACACAGCGUUUCCCAAGAGAUAUAGCUGAAAACCAUGUAUUGGGUGAAGAGGAAUCGGCAACACGCGCCCCCUUGAACUUUGGCGAAGCUGUCAUAGUUCUGCCUGGUUCAGGGGGUAAUCCAGAUCAGAUCGGCCGAUUCUUCCAGACUCUGUAUGAGGGUUUGACCAGAGACGAACGACCAUGGUUGGCUUAUGAUGACCCAGAUAGCAUGCUCCCUCUGACCUUCAAUCCAUUUGAUGAAGCUCUCGACACGGACAAUGAGGUGAUGAUGGCAAUUGUGACUCCCAGAAUCAUUCCAGUGAAUUUCUUUGGUAGCACAAAAACCUCCCCUCAAACUUACGAAUUUUACAAUCCAUCGGCAUUAGCUCGCCAGUUAGCUUUCGGCCAGUUGCCGAUUGCACUUCCUUAUGCCGAUGUGAUAAAACCCAGAGAAACUAUCAACAACCUUCUUGAGUGGACUCAAGCAGCCCAACUACCACCAAACGCCGAUAUAGAUGUAGAUCUGUCAGAAUGGGUUCCGGCUGCUUUUAUCACUCAGGCAUACAAGUUAUGGUGGGCAGAAUGGAAAGAGCAUCUAUUCUGCAGAUCGGCACUUUCAUACCGCGGCAUGAUUGACUCCGAAUACGAAGUUCCCGAUGACACUGUAAGUAACUCAAACCAACGUUUCAUUUUCUCAAUAUUACCUCCAUCGGCAGCUUACCCUUGUAUUCCUUUUGCAGGUUGACAAUAUUCCUCCAUUGGUUAGCAGGAGUGGCAGGCCGAUCGACUUGUUUCCAUCAGGCCCGAUUUCCUCAAUCGGCCACAAUGCUCCCACUCUAGCUUCCAUCGUGCAUCGGGGUGUUCGCCUCAGGAAAGUCACCACCAGAAGAACCCAGACAUCACCAACGGUUGCUGCUCCCACUCUUGCGCGGGCUUUCAAGGCAAUUUAUCAAAUCUUUUCCUUUAUGCUGACAAUCUUUAUAUCGGCUAUAUUUAUGCUUAUAAACUCUUGUUCAUUAUUGCAGCAAACCGGCGCAUCGGCGAAAGCCAGGUGUGAGAGUACCGAUGCCCCCCAGUCUAGCCAACCCAAGAGAAAGGGCACCACGGGUGCUAAGACUGGAACAAAGCGCCAGAAGGUAGCAACUCCCCCUCCUCCUCCGGUAUCUCCAAUUCCGGUGGAGUCUUCUCCUUCUUCUCCAGAAGCCCAGCCACAACAAGCACCAUCUCCCCCACCUAUGCAGGAAGCACCACAGAUAGAAGAACCCCAACAGGAAGGAUCUCAAACAGAAGAUACAUCAGCUGACAUGGGUGAACAAAUAACUGGCCUGGUGGGUCCAGUUAUACCAUCGGCAGUUCUCCCGAUUCAGACAACCGUUGUCCCUCCUCCAGGUAACAUACUUUAACAAUAUCGCUACCGAUGAACUUAUUCUUAUUUAGUCUCAUAACUCCUUUUGUCUUCUUUCAGUUCAUAUCGUUCCAUCGGCAAUCUCAGCCGAUCAACCUGUAGCUCCAUCGGCAUCUUUGGCCGAUCAGCCUGCAGCUCCGUCAGCACUUCUCAGUCAAAGACAAGAGAUCGCCUUGAAGCAAGUAAGUCACCGUUUACUGUUAGCACUAUUUGCCGAUUCUCUGAGUAUGAGCUAAUUUUGCUUUCCCUCCCAGGAACAAGAUUCUCCCGAUAGCCUGUUCUCCUUCGCCAUCGAUCUCUCUGAAGAAGAAGGUGAAGAAGCAAGCUCUUCUCAGACGGUCGGCAUCACAUCGGCAGAGAUCAGGGUCAGGCUGGAAGAAUUGUCAGCUCUCCUUCACCAGGACACAGCGCAAUUGGUUGAUGAUUCCGACCCCACCAAGACCCUGUUCAGAACUCUCAGAGGCCAAAUCCCAGCCGAUGUUGAAGAAAUCCUGUUCCAAGCCGCUCAUCUGGAGAGUCGCCAGCUGCAGUACCAAAGAGCUUCUCGGCGGCUUGCCGAUAGAGCCGCUCAGACUCAACUCACCGAUGAAAUGAGGAAAGAGAAGCUUUUGACCGAUGAGAAGCACAAGAACAUCGGUAUCCUGAGAUCUUCUGGAGACGCGCUGAAGCAGAAGGUAUCCGAUCUAUCGGCAAGAAAAGAAUCCCUGUUGGCGGAGCUCAAGGAAGUAGAGAACGCUCUGUCCCAAGCCCAACAGGAAGAGAGCCAAUUGCCAGAGACCAUCAGGCUUCUUGAGCACGAGCGAAAUGCUCAUGGUCGCAAGGCACUUCAACUGAAGAAGCUGAAGCCGAUAGAAGGUUCUGCCGAUGAUGACAUCAAGGAGAUAGAAGCAGCCAACCAAAUUCGGCUACGCGCUAUAUCGGCAAUCCAGACGCUGCUUAACACAUAGAGUUUCCAUCGGCAUUGUAUCUGCGCUUUCCUGCUUCCUCAGCUUUUAGUCUAGCCGAUAGGACUGUUAUCGGCACCUAAACUUUUGAAACACCAAGUCUUGUCCCCAAGCAUUUGGAUCCAGCCGAUAGGAGUGUUAUCGGCACCUAAACUUCUAUGCAUCGACCCAUAUACUGGGGUAGUACUUCUUUAAAUAUUUGCCGUUUAAUGCUCUGGGAAAUUCAAUUCCUUCGAGGGUUUCUAGAAUGUAGGCAUUACCAGGAGCCGAUCGACUUAUCCGAUAAGGACCCUCCCAAUUAGGAGACCACUUUCCAAACUUCGAACUUUUGGUCCCAAUUGGUAAAAUUAAUUUCCAUACCAAAUCCCUAUCGGCAAACUCUUUAGCCUUCACUUUCUUAUCAUACCAUCUAGCAACUCUCUUCUUAUUUUCUUCUAUACUCAUUAAAGCUUUUAACCGAUGCCCUGCUAGAUCGUCCAAUUCAUCGGUCAUCAAAGUGGCAUAACCAUCGGAAGUUAAUUGAUCUUGAAAAGAUAAUCGCCUAGAUCCAACCUUAAUUUCCCAAGGCAACACUGCAUCAUGUCCAUACACCAAUUGAUAGGGUGAGACCUUGGUCGAUCCAUGACAAGCCAUCCGAUAAGACCACAAUGCUUCAUUUAAUAAUGUAUGCCACCGCUUAGGAUUUUCUUCAAUCUUUCGUUUAAUAAGCUUGAUAAUUCCUUUGUUAGACGCUUCGGCCUGCCCAUUGGCUUGAGCAUAAUAAGGAGAAGAAUUCAACACUUUAAUUCCCAUACCGAUUGCGAAUUCAUCGAACUCCCCCUAUGUGAACAUGGUGCCCUGAUCGGUAGUAAUCGUUUGGGGAAUCCCAAAUCGGUAAAUAAUAUGCUCCUUCACAAAAUCAAUCAUAUUGGCCGAUGUGACUUUCUUCAAAGGAAUAGCUUCAACCCACUUAGUGAAAUAGUCAGUGUCAACUAGAAUGAACUUAUGCCCUUUGCUAGAUGGUGGAUAAAUCUGGCCGAUCAGAUCGAUGGCCCAUCCCCGGAACGGCCAAGGCUUUAUUAUAGGAUUCAUAGCCGAUGCGGGUGCUCUCUGGAUAUUACCAAACUUUUGACAACCUUGACAUCCCUUGAAAUAUUUAAAACAAUCUUCAAGUAUGGUUGGCCAAAAAUAUCCAUUCCUUCGAAUCAUCCACUUCAUCUUAAAAGCUGACUGAUGCGCUCCACACACUCCUUCAUGGAUUUCCCCCAUCAAACUUCUAGCUUCAUCAUCACCCAAGCAUCGGAGAAGAAUUCCGUCGAUAGUUCGAUAAUACAAUUCAUUUUCAAGGAGCACAUACUUGGUUGCUUGAAAUCGAACCCGUCUUUCAACUUUUUUGGAUGGAUCUUUUAGAUAAUCAAUAAUUUCUUUCCUCCAAUCACCGGCACCGACUGCCGAUGUCGCAUUAAUCAUUGGCUGAUAUCCCGAGGCACGCUGAGCUAACCGAUUAGCGUCUUCAUUAUGCAAUCGGGGAACAUGCUCCAAUCGGAAAUCCUUGAAUUCCUUUAACAGUUGCAUACCUCUCUCGAAAUAAGUUAUGAGAACUUCACUUCGGCAUUCAUAGCUUCCGGCCAAUUGAUUUAUAACCAACAUAGAAUCCCCGAAUAUUUCAACAGCAUCAGCACGAACUUCUCUUAACAACUCCAAUCCCUUGAUCAGAUCCUGAUACUCAGCCUGAUUAUUUGUUGAUGUGGCAACAAUCGGCAAGGAAAACUCAUACUUCCUCCCCUUAGGGGAAACUAAUACAAUGCCGAUUCCUGCCCCCCGGUCACAGGUAGAUCCAUCAAAGAAGAGCGUCUAGGGUACAAUUUCCAAGGUUUCCACUAGACCGCAAUGCUGAGUCACAAAAUCGGCCAUAAUCUGCCCUUUGACUGCCUUAGCCGAUUCGUAACGCAAAUCGAACUCCGACAGCGCUAAAAUCCAUUUACCGAUCCUACCACUCAUAAUCGGCAUAGAUAGCAUGUAUCGGACCACGUCAUCUUUGCAAACAACAGUGCAUUCGGCCGAUAACAGGUAAUGUCUCAGCUUGAUACAUGAAAAAUAUAAGCAUAAGCAUAGUUUCUCAAUGGCCGAAUACCUGGUUUCAGCAUCAAUCAACCUCCUACUCAAAUAAUAAAUUACCCUUUCUUUCCCUUCAAAUUCUUGAACUAAAGCUGAACCGAUAACCGAUCCAUCGGUAGAUAAAUACAAUCUGAAGGGUUUCCCUUGUUGAGGUGGAACUAGAACUGGAGGAUUUACUAGAUACUUCUUGAUUUCAUCCAGAGCCAACUGCUGUUCUUCUCCCCAAAUAAACUCUUUAUCGGCUUUCAAUUUAAGAAGAGGACUGAAAGCACGAAUCCUACCAGACAAAUUCGAUAUAAAUCUCCUGAUAAAAUUUACCUUGCCGAUCAAGGAUUGGAGCUCGGUUUUGUUGGUAGGGGCCACUAUUUUAUUGAUGGCAUCAAUAGAUCUUCGACUAAUUUCAAUACCCCUCUGAUGUACCAUGAAACCAAGAAACUGCCCUGCCGAUACACCAAAUGCACACUUGUUGGGAUUCAUCUUCAAUCCAUGCUUCCUUGUGCACUCUAACACUUUUUGUAAAUCGGCAAGAUGCUUUGAGAAAUCUCCAGACUUAACCACCACAUCAUCAAUAUAAAUCUCCACGAGCUUGCCGAUGAACUCAUGAAAUAUAAAAUUCAUAGCCCUUUGAUAAGUAGCACCAGCAUUCUUCAACCCAAAAGUCAUGACUAUCCAUUCAAAUAGCCCAACAUGACCAGGACACCUGAAUGCGGUUUUUGGAAUAUCCUCCUCCGCCAUGAAUAUUUGAUUGUAACCUGCAUUACCAUCCAUGAAGCUGAUGACCUGAUGACCAGCCGCAGCAUCAACCAGUAGAUCGGCGACAGGCAUUGGGUAUCCAUCCAUCGGCGUAGCUUUAUUGAGAUUCCUGAAAUCAAUGCACACCCGAAGCUUCCCGUUCUUCUUGUAAACCGGAACAACAUUGGAAAUCCACUCGGCAUACCGACACUGCCGAAUAAACUUAGCUUCAAUAAGUUUGGUGAUUUCGUCCUUAAUAUCAGGUAGAAUGUUAGGAUUACAUCGGCGGGCUGGUUGCUGAUGUGGCCGAAAUCCAUACUUGAUGGGUAACCGAUGUUCAACAAUUGAUCGGUCUAAACCAGGCAUCUCGGUAUAAUCCCAAGCAAAGCAAUCUUUAUAUUCCUUUAACAAACUAGUCAAUUGUUGCUUACUCUCAGGAUCUAAUUUAGCACUAAUAAAAGUAGGCCUAGGCUUAUCACCACUACCUAUAUCUACUUCUACCAAAUCAUCGGCCGAUGUGAAUCCCUGGCCUAAUUUUCCAUCAUCGGCGAAUCUAUCCAUUAAAAACCAUCGUCAGAACCGACUGCUUGGAUCGGUGGAAUCUCAUAAUCGGCAACUUUGAGAAAAUCUUUCUCCCAAACUUCUCCUGAAAUGCACCUGGUCCUUUCGUAAGUAUCCGCUUCUGCCGAUGCGAUAACAUAAGAAGAAUCUCCUGGGACAAUCUCAAUCUUGUCACCUACCCACUGAACCAAGCAUUGAUGCAUUGUAGAUGGGAUACAACAAUUGGCAUGAAUCCAAUCUCUUCCCAAUAAUAAGUUGUAAGCACCUUUUCCGCUGAUCACGAAAAAAGUUGUCGGCAAGGUUUUGCUGCCGAUGGUCAACUCUGCACAUAUCGCCCCCUUGACUGGAGACACGUUUCCUUCAAAGUCUUUGAGCAUCAUAUCGGUCUUGGUCAAAUCUUGAUCCCCUUUCCCAAGCUUCCGAUAUACUGCAUACGGCAUAAUAUUAAUAGCAGCUCCACCAUCAACUAGGAUCUUGGUCAUUGGCUGCCCAUCAACCCUUCCUUUGAGGAACAGAGCUUUAAGAUGCUGCCUCUCGUCAUCGGCAGGUUUCUCAAAGAUAGCCAUCAUCGGAUCCAGAGCCAACUGAGCUAUCUGAUCAGAAAAUUCCAACUCAUCAUCACUGGCUGGUGCAAGAAACUCCAUCGGCAACAUGAAGACCAUGUUGACGCCUGCCGAUGGACCUUCCCUCUUAGUGUCUGACGGCUGCCGACUUCCAGAGUUCUCUCCCUUGUUUAGCUCUUCUUGCCUUUCACGUUGCAAUCUCCUUUUCUGUGUCUUGGUUAAUCCUCCAGGGCACCAUGGAGGAAGUGGCCUUUGCCUUGCCGUCGGGCGUCGGUUCUCCCUUGACUCCAUACGAUGCGUGUUAGCAUCCCUGCAAUAUGAAUUCAUCUGGAACCCGCGCAUCAGCCAUUUCCUCGAGCUCUUCUUGGUUCCUGGGAACAUACUAGACACGGUCACUAAGUCUGUCGUGCCCACUAAAUCUGCCCCCCAGCCGGUCAUGAACUGACACCCUUCCUCUGAUCGGCCCAUUAAAUCGCCGUUCAUCAUCAUGAUAAUGCCGAUCGAUCCCAUCGUACCGAUCAUAACCGUUGCACUCAGGGCAGUCUCUGACAGUAGGAAGCUUGAUAUUUUCCUCCCAACAAUGGAUGAAGAAUGGACAAUUCCAAUGAUCCCUGUGCCGAUUCCACUCCUGUCGGCGUCUUUCUUCUUCCCGUCGAUAAUCUUCCUGCUGGCGCCGAUAUCGAUCUUCCCGUUGUUGCCAUUUUUCUCGUGGCCUUCUAUGAGUUAUGACGAUACCAGAUCGAGGAGGCCUUCCUAAGCUAGUUCCUUCCUGGACCAAGCCCUUACUUCUUGCAUCGGCAGUAGUAACUUGAUGCUGAGGAUCUACCGAUGCACUCUUCUCAGCUGUCUCCGAUGUUAAGACCUUAGCCUUCCCCUUAGCAUCCAACAUGUUUGUCGGGAAAGGAUGUUGGUCUAUCUUCAUCGGCUUCUGGGCUUUGGAACUGUCAAACUUGAUUCUCCCUGACUCUAUAGCCGAUUGCAGUUGCUGUCUGAAUACUUUGCACUCGUUGGUGUCAUGGGAAGUUGCAUUAUGCCACUUGCAAUAUCUCAUCCUCUUCAACUCUUCUGCCGAUGGGAUCACAUGGUUAGGCGACAGUUUGAUCUGACCUUCCUGAAGUAGAAAGUCAAAUAUCCUAUCAGCCUUAGCGGUGUCAAAAGCAAACUUCUCUGGUUCCUUCUGCCCAAAAGGACAAGACAUCGGCUUCUUGUUUUUUACCCACUCUGCCAAGCCGAUUACUGGUUCUUCAUCAGAAUCUGAGCUUGUUGCUUCAUCGACAAAUGACACUUUCCUAUUCCAUGCUCUUUUAGGCUCGAAAGGCUUGAUGUCUUGAUCAGAAAUCCUCUGCACCAAAUGACAUAAACUUUCGAACUCCUGAGAGGCAUACUUAUCCCUGAUAUGUGGCAACAAACCCUGGAAAGCCAAAUCGGCUAGCUGCCGAUCAUCCAGAACCAAGCUAUAGCAUUUAUUCUUGACCUCUCGUAUCCUCUGCACAAAACCCUCAACCGACUCAUCAUUACGUUGCCUCAACUUGACCAAGUCGGUGAUCUUCUUCUCAUGAACCCCCGAGAAGAAGUAUUUGUAGAAUUGCUUCUCUAGAUCGGCCCAAGUAAUUACUGAGUUGGGAGGUAAUGAUAUGAACCAAGUAAAGGCCGAUCCAGACAAUGAUGAUGAAAAUAGACGAACCCUCAAUUCGUCCCUGUUACCAGCCUCUCCACAUUGAAUGAUGAACUUGUUGACAUGCUCCAUGGUUGACGUGUCGUCCUGCCCGGAAAACUUUGUAAAAUCCGGUACCUUGUACCGAUGUGGAAGCGGGAUCAAAUCAUACGCGGGAGGAUACGGUGUCCGAUAAGAAUAAGUGUUGACUUUGGGUUUUAUCCCAAAUUGUUCCCUCAUUACUUCAGCAAUCUUAUCGGCCCAAUAUGCAUCGGCAUCUUGCCGAUGAGGCGGCUGCGGAUCUGGCACUUGGUGGCGAACCUCCACGUGUCUGUUCGGGACGUGAUCUGCACGGAACAUUGUAUUGAUCACCUGUCCUCCAAUCUGCGGACCACCAAACUGCUGUCCACUGAUUGGCUGUCCUCCGAGUUGCUGUCCAAAAUUCAUUGGCUGGUUGGGAAUCCCCUGACCUUGGAACCCGGGAUAGACCUGCCCUUGCUGGAACCCUGUAGUCUGGUAACUCUGCUGGGGCGAUUGUGGAAAGGCUUGCUGUCCAAGCCAUCCAUUAUUAGCGUUCAUCGGCAUAGGUGCUGCCGAUGAUUGGUAAUUGGGUACCGUCGUUGAAUUGACAUACCCCGACUGGGCCAUAGACCUCUGUUGCAUCAGCAUUGACUCUGCCGAUGCGUUGGGCAUCUGGAACAUUGAAUCUUGAGGAUUUCCAGUGUGAGGCCUUGCAGUAGUAGUUGUGGUAUACCGUGGACUCUGGUUCACCGGCGCAUUGGGAGGUGCCGAUGUCAUAGGAGUUUUGCCCCUCAUGUCAGUUAUUUGUGAUGUUCCCGGUGUCAACUCUGGAGGCAUACCGUAACCCCACCAGUUGGGAGGAAGAGUCAACCCUGACAUUGCCGAUGCCAACAUAUCUGUUGUCAGUUUAUGCUGCCCAACUGAAAUUUGUGGCUUGGUUGUCAUCGGCAUAGAUAGUGCACUAGUAGUCCCCGAUGUACUUGGAGGGACGGCAGAUUGUGCACUUGCAGUCGUCAAGGCAGCCGAUGGAGCCGUGACCUCUGGUGCCGUUGACUGAUGAUGGGAGGGGCCCACAUAAUCUGGUGGGAUUUGUCCUUCCUUGAAAGUUCUUGCCACGGCAUUGAAAACCGUAUUAGACAGUACACCAGCUUGGUUAAUCAACGCUCGAUUGAUGGCAUUGUCAACCAUAUCUUGAAGCUUGCCAGGAUUGGCGUCAAAGGUAACCUGCCGUGGUGCCGGCAGUGCAUCUUUCUGGACCACUUCGCCGCUCCUAUUUAUGCUGAAAGACCUCAGGCAUUGCUGCUUGAACUCUUCCAUGGCUUGAGCAAUAGCUUGCUUCUGCUCAUCCUUGAGGUUGGCCUCCGUCACGGGGAUGACGUUCUCUUGAUCGAGGUCAGAGAUCGACAUGUUGAUCUUGAUCUUGAAUCCUGUCCCACCAGGCGUGCCAAAAGAUGUGUUGAUGCAAAACUGAUCUGCAAACACAAAGGGCUAAUACCCGAUUCAAACGUUAAGGCGUGCCAGCCGAUUUGACCUUGCUAUCGGCAAAGGUGAUAACUCGAAUACUUUAGUCCUGACAACAGCGAUGCGCCCGGAUGUCACGGCUAAGAGGUACUCACGCGGAACUUGAGAACACGCCGAGCUUAAGUCGACGAAUUCCUAAGAACUCGUAACAAAAGGAAAAAGUAUUACGAAGUCGUCGAAAAGUAAAUGCUGGAAUAUGAGUAAAAACGUGUGUUUGAUUUAUUGAUUGAUUUUCUAUUACAAGGCCCUAGGGUCUAUAUUUAUACCCUGCUCAAAGAGCUACAACCAGACACGAUUAGAAUUCGAAUUCCAAAUUACACGGAAUCCGUAUACAAAUUGAUGCAAAUAAUUAAGGAAAUAACAAAACUAUCCCUCGUGACAAACCGAAACUCCUCCACAUAACGAUCGGCAGCUUCCGGACUCCCUCUUUGCAUCAUCGGCAGACCCUUUGCCAUAGUCAUCGGCAGACUUUCUUAUCUAGCCAUCGGCACCAUAUUACUGCCUGCGGACUUAGUCACGUUCAACUUCUCCCUCAUCGGCAACCAUCCUCAUCGGCAACCCACUUUGUAAACAUCGUACUGCCACCUUAUCCUGCCAUCCUAGACACGUGCCCAAAAACGGUGUCAACAAGACCGUAGCACCGAGUCAAGUGUGGAGAGAGAAGAUAGUUAUAGCCACCGGAACCACCGACUACGUCACCUAGCGAAUCCCAGGACAAUUGAAAACAUAAGGAGUCCCGUUCGGAAGACUUAAAAACACCGAACGCCUUGCCAAGAGGUAAACUUGGUAGUUAUCCUUUUUCUUUCAAUUAUUCAAUUAUAGUUUGCUUAGUUAAUCAGGUUCAUGCUAUCUUGAAAAGAAAAUAAAAAUGUUAAAAAAAUAGUAAGCCCCAUGUGAGUAUGCUCAUGGUAUAAAACCCAUAGGUACAUUCACUGUGGUGGCAUAAAAAUAAAAUAAAUAAGUUUUCAUCUUACAGUAAAAAUAUAAAAAUAAUAAGUGCAUGAUCCUUCUAAAUAAGUAAUAUUUAUUAAGGAGGCUCAACAUGAUAAAGGCUAGAUAUUUAUGCUAACACUUAACCAGUUCCACAAAGCUUUGUUGUCUAUUUGAGCUCCACAGAAUUCAAGGAUCAAAGAAGACUAGCAGACAGAGGACAUCCGAAUCGCUGUCAGGGUGCUGCCGACUUUCAAAUACACCUCCACCACCUGCUAGUUACAUCAGAAGUAAUUACGUCAAAAUCCAGCUUGGGGGAAAGCACCCCCAUUUAUCCAGCUAAGUGUUUCUACUCGCGUUUAUACUUUACUCAAAUAAUAAAAGAUGCAUAAUCAUGAAAACCCAAAUAAAGAUUUUGUGCUUUUAUAUAUAUAUCUUUGCUUAGUUUGCUAAACAAAUAAAUAAAGUUUGCUAUCAACCUUCAUGAUAAGCUCUCACAUGGAAAUGAUAAAUAGUUGCUUUGCCAGGUACCUAGUUGUCAAAAUUGAAAUCUCUCUCAAGUUUAGGCAUGACUGUUAUGAAGUAAGAUUUGCUCUAAACCUGAACCUGUGGGAAGAGUACUUGAUCUAAAGUCUAAGUCGUUAACGGAUAUGAUAUGGAAAGGUUGAGCUGCUGUUUAUCUGUUCCUAGAGAUGCUAGAAUUUUAGAGAAUUUUAUCUUUGAAAAAUCUUUAAAAUAACACAUGAUGAGUUCAUAUAUGAUGAGAGUUUAAAUUCCUACCACAGCCAUAUAUACAUGCUUGCUAGACUUUGAGCCACAUAUUUACUUUACUGCUUAUGAGCAUUGAGUGUGGUCAAGCUGUGUAGACCCUUAGGAGCUUGUCAUGUGGUUAAAAUCAAGAGUCACUUGCACGUUCACUCAUACAUGCUACUUCUACUCCGGAAGUACCAUCCACAUAUAUCCACUCAUUUCCAUCUCCAGAUUCACCCAAAAUUAUUCUACUCCUAAUCUGGGAGAGAAUAGCCAAAAAUAUUAUCCUAUCCCUGUUAUUCCCUGUGAAAUAAAUGCUCGAGUUAUCUUGGUUACUACCACUUGCUAUAUUAUUUAUGGAGAUGAGUGCUCUAAAAAAAGAAAAAAAUAAUAUACGAGGAAAUAAAAAGGGGCAAGUGCCCGGAACCUCAAAGAAAAGAAAAAGUGAGACGAGAGGUAAAAAUGGACAAGUGUCCGACAGUAGAAUUAGGGGUACAAGAUACCCACCUGAGAGGAAAGAAAAAGAAAAUAUAGAGCAUCUCAUUCUCCCCAAAAAGCUUCAAAGUGCAAGAAAGGUAUGUAUCCCCUUAAAAGAGCAAAAGUAGAAUUAGACUUCCACCAUCAUCAUCACCAUACACCAUUCAUUCGCCACACAUGCACAUCUUGAUUUGACUUAUUGACUUGUUCUUCUGGAUCCAUGGUUUGACUAUGCAAUAAAUGUCUUGUAAGUAUGUAUUAGCUGUCUCCCACCUAUGAGCUCCAGAUAUCAGAACCUUAUUAGGGUAGGGUGAGAGAGAAGGCAAUAUCACUAUGCCUCAUACCACAAAUACCACAUACUUUGAGAGAAGGCAUAUACCAUUACUGCCUUGGUAAGGAUCUAGAAAUACCACAAAAGAGAGAUCUGAGAGAGUGAUAUAAGGAAUCUCUGAGUUUUAUUUGAAAAUCUACAAAAACCCCAGAGCUAUAGCUGAUCAAGAAUAAGAGACAUGACGCUUGACUUGACCGUUCUAUCUUUUAACUGCUCAAGACACAAGUGACGGUUACAAGCCCCAUGGUGAAAGGUAAAAUGAGUAAGUUUUAAGUCUUAACAGUUUAUUCUAACUCAGAGAUGAGAUCUUGUUUGAAUGCGUGUGUACCUUUAAGGCAUGAAACCACUGCAGAAACUCUUGAGUCCAUCCUUGCUCAGGGACGAGCAAGAGGUAAGCUUGGGGGAGUUUGUUGACUGUCCUUAAGUAUCAAAUUUAAUUAUCAAAUAAACAAAGAAAAUGAUCCAAAUGAAAUCAACAUCUAGACUUAGGGUUUUAUUUGACAGAAUUCCAUGAGUUUUGGUGUUUGUCUAUUUCUGCAGGGGGUUAUCAGGAAAUAAGGAAGAAAGGCCCACAUGUCAGGAUUACAUAGAGAUAUCAACGCAUCGCGCAAUUUUCUACCAUCUAGAAGACUCCAGAAGGCACGAGACCGAAGGAGAGGCGAAACGGGGCCAGGACCUGGGCGCCCGCCCACCUGCUGAGCCCAAUCAGGACUCUUUCUCUCAGGAGAUCUCCACCGACCUAUUGGAUUCAGAAUAACGUAGUACCACCUCGCCUACCGACCCAAAAACGCAUAGAGGAGGAGGACUAUAUAAGGAGACCCCCUGGCCCCUGGAGGAGACAAGAAGUUAUCAUAGAGAUUGAGGGGUGCCCUCGAAGGAAAACCUCUUCUCUAAAUAAUAUUUCUUUUUAGGCUUAGCAACCAAUGUAAGUAGAAAUAGAUCUUCUAGUUUCUACUAGAAUGAGAGAGAUAGAGUGGAGGUGUGGAUCGGAGGAAGGCCGGCCUGUCGGUGUCUACUCCGAGUUGUACCUGCGGGAUCAAGUCUCCUAACCCGAGGCUUGCUUCUAAGAUUCUUCAGUAAUUUGACUUCUAAUUCUAGUAAUUUCUUGUUUUAUUGUUCUUUGGUUUAUGAGUUUACUUUAAUCCUCUUCCGGUUGAGUAUUAGAGUAAUCACUUGCUAGCGUAAACGUGGUGUUUAGGCUAGGGUACUCAUAGAUAUCCCCUGACUAGCUGGACCGUGGUAGUAGCGAGGAACGUGACAUUUUCGAGUUACCUUUGCAGAUCACAUCUCGUUAGCAGGACGGGUAGGUUUAUAGGUGCGGGUCGAACAUCUUUUGUGUUGUCUAGAUUCCGUGAGCCUCCCCAAUAGAACAGUAGAUCAUCCUUAUCAAGGUUAGAACGAGACUACGGUUGCAGUCUUCUCUAUACAUCGCUCACAUCGAGAAACAUUCUUUGUAGCCUAAAGGGAUAGUAGCAAUAGAUUUGGUUAGUCAGAUGCACCCUUUCUCCCAGUGGUAAAAAUAUAAAUACGAUAAUAUCCGUGCGCUUGCGGAUCAAUUCCUUAUUGCGUUACCAAAUAUCAACACGCUUGCGGAUUUUUCUGUUUGCGUUUAAAAUACCCAACAAUGGUGCUUAGGUUAAAAUGCCCUUCUAAAUCAAAUUAGACACAGUGUCUAGGUUGAUUUUUAAGCCGAUAGUAUGCUAUAGUAGAUAUGGGAUAUUUUGUUGGACAAACCCCUACAGGAAAACUUUCAAUAUCAACGUGGGAAGUCCCGAGAUAAACUCGCAUUGGAGAUGAAGAAAAUGACACAUGAAGUUUAACAAUUUGCACAAGAAAGACGUGGCUCAUAAGAGAUGAUUCAUGGAGGGUGCCACAAACACGAUGCACAACCGCUAAGAAAGGAAAGCUUCCACAAGGUGAUACUGUACCGUCACUCUUCAAGUAAUGUAACACCUUAAGGUACUUGACUAUCGCUUUUAUAAGCUUCUCCUUGGUUCUAGCAUUCACAUAAAUAAAGAGACAAACAUGUAUCAUUUAUAACUCCAGAUUAACCAACUCAAUUAAUUCAACAUGUUUAGUCCUUUAAUCUUUGUUCCUAGUACUACCUUCGUGAUCCCACGCUCCUAAACAUAUCGGCUAAUAUGUUGCACAUUCAAUAUGUGGAAGAUAUAAACAAAACAUAAAUAUAGAUAGAUUAUCUUUCCAUUAGGUUGAGCCAUCUGAUCUGACAAAUGUUUCAAAUACUACACUCAUGAUCUUAUUAUCCGUCAACUUUGUCUUGCUCACUAUGCUUAAGGUUAGAGAAGAACAAAUAUACUUUUGGUUCUGUUGGUGUUUUCCACCAACAGAGCCCAUGCACUUGAUCUCUGCCUUGUCUCUAUGAACAGGUACACUUCAAGCAAAACAUGGAGGAAUUUUACAACUCCCAGACUCCACCAAGUGAAGGACCUGGAUCUAUGAGCACAAACACACUGAGCAGGAAAUUGCCAACACCAUACUUCGAACUGCUGGGCAAAGAAGAACAUGGGUGACACCGUAUCAAGAGGUGCAGCCGCCAAGGUCCACACCUAAUCAAAUAAUGCACCUAAAGGAUGAAGAUGGUGGAAAGUAUUGUCCAGAAGACUUAAAACAUUAGAUCCUUGUCGGAAGAGGUCAACAUCAUCGACUCAAGUCACCUUUCUUAAUCAAGAAGGACGACCCUAGUGUUCCAAGCAUCGAGUGCGCAAUCAAUGGAUACUCUUUUCAGAAGACACUCUACGACACCGGAUCUGACGACAACAUAAUGGCCGCAGUCAUUUAUCAGCCUGCAUGGAACCAUGCCCCUACAACCAAUAUAUUCAGCUCCAGAUGAUUUUCAGGUCAUUGACAUGGGAGAAGACGAAUAUGAUCCACCCACCAUCCUUGGAAGACCGUUCCUCAACACUAUCAAAGCAAUCAUCUACAUUGGAACCGGAGAAGUCCACAUGUACUUCCCCUCUGAGAAGGUACGCAACUAUUUUACUAACCAUAACUAUAUAGUUGAAGACUCUAAGCAGGUCAGGACAAGAAGACGACGCAACCGCAACCAGAGGAGGCAAAUCAUCAAGAACGGAUGGGUAGACUACGAAGGAGAAGUGAUAAGGACUGACAGCUUGAACAGGACUGUCCUGAGGAGACCGUAGCACCGAGUCAGGUGUGGAGGGAGAAGAUAGUUAUACACGAAGAGAGGCGCCGCCGGAAUCACCGACUACGCCACCUAGCGAAUCCCAGGACGACUGAGAAAAUAGAGAGUCCCGUUCGGAGGACUUAAAAAUACCGAACGCCUUGCCAAGAGGUAAACUUGGUAGUUACCCUUUCCUUUCAAUUAUUUAAUUAUAAUUUGCUUAGUUAAUCAGGUUCAUGCUAUCUUGAAAAGAAAAUAAAAAUGUUAAAAAAAAUAGUAAGCCCCAUGUGAGUAUGCUCAUGGCAUAAAACCCAUAAGUACAUUCACUAUGGUGGCAUAAAAAUAAAAUAAAUAAGUUUUCAUCUUACAAUAAAAAUAUAAAUAUAAAUAAUAAUAAUAAUAAUAAUAAUAAUAAUAAUAAUAAUAAUAAUAAUAAUAAUAAUAAUAAUAAUAAUAAGUGUAUGAUCCUGCUAAAUAAAUAACAUUUAUUAAGGAAGCUCAACAUGAUGAAGGCCAGAUAUUUAUGCUAACACUUAAUUAGUUCCACAAGCUUUGUUGUCUAUUUGAGCUCCAUAGAACUUGAGAAUCAAGAAGACUAGCAGACGGAGGAUAUUCUAAUCGCUGUCAGAAUGCUGCUGACUUUCAAAUACACCUCUGCCACCUGCUAGCUACAUCAAGAGAAAUUACGUCAAAAUUCAGCUUCGGAGAGAGCACCCCCAUUAUUCUCGCUAAGUAUUUCUACCUAUCUUUAUACUUAUAUUAUGUUAGAAUAUUAAAAUACAUAAACUAUGAAAAAACAAAAUAAAGAUUUUGUGCUUAUAUAUAUAUAUAUAUAUAUAUCUUUUGCUUAGUAUGUUUAAUAAAUAAAUAAAGUGGCUAUUAAUCUGAAUCUUAAUAAUAAAACUCUAGCACGGAUAUGAUGAAUAGUUGCUCUGCCUAAUUUGCAAUUUUCAAGUUCCCUCUCAAGUUUAGACAUAACUGUUAUAAUUUAAAGCUUGCUCUAGAUCUAAACUUGUGGGAUGAAAACUUGAUCUAAAAUUUAAAACAUUUUCCUAUCCCUGUUAUUCUUUGUGAAAUAAAUGCUCCAAAUAUUUUGGUUACUACCACUUGCUAUAUUAUCUCAAGAGAUGAGUGCUCUGAAAAAAGAGAGAAGAAACAAAAUAUAUAAACGAGGAAUUAAAAAUGGGCAAGUGCCCGGAACCUCGAAAGAAAGAAAAAGUGAGACGAGAGGUAAAAAUGGACAAGUGUCCGAUAGUAGAAUUAGGGGUACAAGAUACCGACCUGAAAAAAAAAGAGAGAGAGCAUCUCAUUCUCCUCAUAAAGUUUCAAAAAAGCAAGGAAGGUAUGUAUCCCCUCAAAAGAGCAAAAGUAGAAUUAGACUUUCACCAUUGUUAUUACCAUCAUCACUAUACAUUCGCCACACAUGCACAUCUUGAUUUGGCUUAUUGAUUUGUUUCUCUGGAUCCAUGGUUUGACUAUGCAAUAAAUGUCUUGUAAGUAUGUAUUAGCUGUCUCCCACCUAUGAGCUCCAGAUAUCAAGCCUUAUUAGAGUAGGGUGAGAGAGAAGGCAAUGCCUUAUACCACAAAUACCACAUAUCUUGAGAUAAGGCAUAUACCAUCAAUGCCUUGGUAAGGAUCCAGAAAUACCACAAAAGAGAGAUAUGAGAGAGUCAUACAAGGAAUCUCUGAGUUUUAUUUGAAAAUCUGCAAAAACCCCAGAGCUAUAGAUGAUCAAGAAUAAGAGACAUGGCACUUGGCUAGACUAUUCUAUCUUUUAACCUCUCAAGACAGAAGUGACGAUUACAAGUCCCAUGGUGAAGGUAAAGUAAGUUUUAAGUCUUGACAGUUUACUCUAACUCAGAGAUGAGAUCUUAUUUA
rnacentral:lncRNA from 1 species